CCCACUCUAGAAUGUUCUAGAUUCAACUACAGCAUUGUUUUCUAUUUAGGAAUACCUACACUACCCCUUAUUCAACUGAAAUUAUCAAGGAUAAUCAAAUACCUACACUACCCCUUAUUCAACUGAAAUUAUCAGAUCACCCAAGCUAACUUUCAUAACUAGGUAUCCUUAGUUUUAACCAAGAUUAAUCGAUCAGAGGUUAACCUAAUCAGCUAUAUCCAAAAGAAUCUAAAAGAAAUCCCAACAAUUGAACUUAAUUUGAACAAAAGUAAAAUUUGACUCUAAUUAAUACAACUAUUCUAAAGCUAAGCCUGGCAUUAAACUGUCAACUAAAGGAACAGGGAGAAAUGAUAUAGGAGAAACAGUAAUACCCAAACAAUCUACAUUCAGUCAAAUUUAUAUUCUUUAAACCUAAAUGAAUCCCUAUCAAUUCAAAUCAACAAGUAACAUGCAUCUAACAGGUAAAACGAAUAAAAAUUGCAAUAAUUCACGGACUUAUCCUAACAACAAUAAGAACAGAAGAUAAAUCACAAUAUUGAAAGCUAUCCACACUAAACCAAAAGAACAU
rnacentral:lncRNA from 1 species